rnacentral:tRNA from 1 species
AUUCGUAUAGUUUAAUAAAAACCUUUUAUUUUCAUUAAAAAAAUAAUCACUAAAAAUUUAUGAAUG